GACAGAGGGUGCAAACGUUGUUCGGAAUUACUGGGCGUAAAGCGCGUGUAGGCGGCUAAGUAAGUCGGGCGUGAAAUCCCACGGCUCAACCGUGGAAGUGCACUCGAAACUGCGUAGCUAGAGUCCUGGAGAGGAAGGUGGAAUGCUUGGUGUAGAGGUGAAAUUCGUAGAUAUCAAGCGGAACACCGGUGGCGAAGGCGGGUCGCUGGGCCGAUACUGACGCUGAGGAGCGAAAGCGUGGGGAGCGAACAGG
rnacentral:rRNA from 1 species